CGAGACCUCAGGUCAGACGGGGCUAC
rnacentral:rRNA from 1 species